rnacentral:rRNA from 1 species
UCCCGGCGGUCCAAGUCGCAUCCACAAUUAUUGGGUCUAAAACAUUCGUAGCUUGUUUUGUAAGUCUCUUGUGAAAUUCCAUAUCUCAAGUAUGGAGCGUGCAAGAGAUACUACUUAACUAGAGACCGGAAGAUGCAAAGAGUACGAUGGAGGUAGCGGUAAAAUGUGUUAAUCUUUGUCGGACUAACAAUGGCGAAGGCACUUUGCAAGUACGGAUCUGACAGUGAGGAAUGAAGGCUAGGGGCGCAAAAGG